GUAGGUGGCAAGCGUUGUCCGGAAUUAUUGGGCGUAAAGCGCGCGCAGGCGGUUCUUUAAGUCUGAUGUGAAAGCCCACGGCUCAACCGUGGAGGGUCAUUGGAAACUGGAGAACUUGAGUACAGAAGAGGAAAGCGGAAUUCCACGUGUAGCGGUGAAAUGCGUAGAGAUGUGGAGGAACACCAGUGGCGAAGGCGGCUUUCUGGUCUGUAACUGACGCUGAGGCGCGAAAGCGUGGGGAGCAAACAGGAUUAGAUACCCUGGUAGUCCACGCCGUAAACGAUGAGUGCUAAGUGUUAGGGGGGUUUUCCCGCCCCCCUUAGUGCUGCAGCUAACCGCAUUAAGCACUCCGCCUGGGAGUACGGCCGCAAGGCUG
rnacentral:rRNA from 1 species